GGGCUCUCGCUCAGUCGGGGGACUCUCCUCGUUGCCCAGGAUGUGCUCCACCAGGCAGUGAGCGGCCUCCUCGAUGUUGCUGUUUUCCUAAAGUAGGGCAAAUCAUCAAGCCAUCUCUCCACUGUCUGCAUUAAGGUCAAAGAAGGCGUCCAGUCGGGGUUGCAGGCAUGACGCUUGGUCAGCUUUAUUGGCCAAGAGCACGGCGGGAACGGGCUUCCCGUGGCUCAGCCUCACCUUUGGACAAAGACAGGAUUGGAAGUGGGUCCUCACCGGCAAUGUCCCAGAGCUGCAGUCGGACGACGGUAUCCCGGUCCCACUGGAGCACCUUAAGGGCGAAGUCGACGCCGAUGGUGGCGCGGUAGUGUUGCGAGAAGAUGUGGUGCACGUAGCGCUUGAUGAU